rnacentral:lncRNA from 1 species
CUCUUUAACUGCUCCUUGACACUAAGUUUAGCCAGCUUGUUCCAUGAAUACCUAAAAAUUAAUAUAAUGGAAGUAAUUCAGCAUUAUCCAGUGUAGGAACCAAUGUUUUCCUGUCUUUACAUAAUUUUCUUGUGCUUGAUGAUGCUUUUUGCUUGUACAAUGAACUUUUGUGUUUAUUUUUAAAAUUUUCAAAAGUCAUUCUGCUUUUGUAUUCACAGAGGAGGUGGUGGCGGAGGAGGAGGAGGAUGGAGAGCUGUUCAAGACAGGGAUCAGUUUUACAGGAGGAGAUCACCAUCCCCCUAUUACAGCCGAGGGGGCUACAGAUCUCGAUCCAGAUCUCGAUCCUAUUCACCUCGUCGCUAUUAAAGCAUGACAUGUAGAGGAAUUUCUAGCUACAGCCUUUGAGUUGAAAUUGCAAGUUUGUGGACAAUAUUUUUAUUGUCUCUUCUGUUUAAACAAGUGAACAGUGCCUAGUGAAUAGGUGACUUUUACACCUUUUAUGAAGACUACUUCUGUGAUGUUAAAUGCUGUUUCAUUCUGCAUAUUUGUGUAGUUUGGUGCUUUGUUUCAAGUUGUGUUUUGAAAGGAGUAUGUUUUGCAUGUAUUUUUUUAGUCUCAAUUUUGACUCCUGAAAGGUUUCUAUUGUAAAGACAAACUGUUCAGUUAGUUUUUUCUACUGAUUCCAAGGUAUUCUGAAGAUCAAAACCUGUGUAAAAUGCUUUCAAAAAGUGAAAAAUAAAAUAAAAAGAAGUUUGUUUUUUCUUUUCCUACUUACUUUUGCCAAGUGUAAGUUACAGGUUGAAAAGAGACUACAACACUUAUGCUAUGUAUUCUGGAAUAAUGUUUAAAGCCCAGAAGUAAAAUUGACCCUAAUUUUGUGUUGUUGGGUAGCUGUUCUCUAAAUGCAAUACCUUCAAAGUACAUAAACCCAGUGUGUAGGGAAGUCCCUGUGCAAAUUGUGCGGCAGCAGGAGCAUGGAGCAAGACUUGUAAUAAACUCUUGGUAAUACUGUUGAGCUUUGAGAUGGGUAAGCUGUUAGCAGAUUAUCACCUAUAACAUGUAGGCCUUUAAAUAAGGAGAAGGCUUCAGUGGAUGUAGGUAACCAUACACUUGGAGAAGGCAAUGAAAUAACACUUAGACUACUUUGAUUUUUCUUAUUUCUUCACUGAUGAUUGUCCUUCUUUUAAAGAGUACAUCUUUAUCCCCAUGUGCAGCUAAAAUGCAAUAAAACUCCCAAAUGAUGCUUUCCUACCAGUG